rnacentral:rRNA from 1 species
CCCUUAGACGUUCUGGGCUGCACGCGUGCUACACUGAUAUUGCCAAUAUGUCAUUCUUAUCCGAAAUGGAUUGGGUAAUCAAGUAAUGAAAUUUCAUGCUUGGAAUCGGUAAUUGCAAUUUUAUCGUGAACGAGGAAUUCCUAGUAAGCACUAGUCAUCAGCUAAUGUUGAUUAUGUCCCUGCCCUUUGUACACACCGCCCGCCGCUACUACUGAUUGGGUGUUCAAGUGAGAUGCUUAGACCCUUGUUGCAUGGUUCAUUAUUGUGCUCCGAAAGGAAAAAGUUUCAAGCUUGAGUGUCUAGAGGAAGUAAAAGUCGUAACA